rnacentral:lncRNA from 1 species
ACCUAGCCAUCCACUGAGACUUCAGCAUCAAAGCACUGUACCAGUCAACAUGAACGGAUUCGUUGGAGUAAACGCCCUCGUGUGGGUUGCCGUUGCACUAGCUGUGCUCAUCAAUGAAGCUGCCGCUCUUGGUGGCGGCGUCGGAGCCGGUAGAGAAAUGGACCGAAAGGAGUAAACCACUGCGCACCAAGUCCCGAACCAUGGCUCCUCCGAGAAAU